rnacentral:rRNA from 1 species
UACGUAGGCAGCGAGCGUUGGUCGGAGUUACUGGGCGUAAAGCGUGCGUAGGCGGUCUUGUAAGUGUGGUGUGAAAUCUCCCGGCUCAACUGGGAGGGUGCGCCGAAAACUGCAAGGCUGGAGUAUGGGAGAGGUAGGCGGAAUUCCUGGUGUAGCGGUGAAAUGCGUAGAUAUCAGGAGGAACGCCUGUGGUGUAGACGGCUUACUGGACCAUGACUGACGCUGAGGCACGAAAGCGUGGGGAGCAAACAGG